CUUCUCCAGGACCCUCGGCGACGGGAAGAGAGCUAGAACUGAGGCCCCAGGUGGCUCCGCGGCAGGCGAGCCUCUUCCUGUGGCGGCCGCUGGAGGGAGGCUGAAGCGACCGCUGUGGCGUGAGGCCAGCCCGUUUUCAGGCAGGAGACAGACACAAGUCCACUGUGGCCCACUAACUGCAAGAGACACAUCUCAAGUACUCUGAGUAGUUCCAUUGGAGGUCCGUCUCACUCACGUUGAGAUAAGAGGCAAGCAAGCUUAUGUGGACCACUGUGCCAGUGUGAAGAAUGCUUGUUCUUCAUAAACAACGACAAAAAAAAGUAUUACUAGCUGCAAAGAGAAGAAACUGUUCCAGGGUGUACGAAUCCCACGCCAACAUCCAAAAUAAUGGCAAAUACUGUUCUGAUCUUAGCAACCCAAAGUAACCUUUGUGCAUUUUUUUAUUCAGCACAUAUUUCUUGAGCAACUAUUAUGGGCCAGGCAGUGUAUUGAGGGAUAUAAUCAUGAUCUCUGCCCUGAAAAAUCUUCAUCUUCUAUAUCUCUGGAAUAAAAUGUUUUCAGAAUAGAACCAAAGUUAACAUGAUGUUGAUUUCAGCUUCUACAUUCACUCACACAGCCACUGGUGCCAUCCAGUUUGGGGAGCUAGAACAAUUGACAGUAACCCUCAUCUUUGCCAAGUCCACAUUUUUGGCCUGAUAACUCAAAAUUCAGUGUAUGGCAAUAAUAUAAGCCAGCGAGAUCAUCAGCUAUAAGACUAAGUUGUUUUGGUUUCUUGAUUAAAUUCCUAUAGUCAACAAGAUAUUUUUUCCACAGUCAGAACUUUUAUGGUUUAAAAAAAAGAAUUAAUAUCCCUUCUCCUCUUCCCUCUCCCUAUAUCCAUGUAAGAGAAAGAAAAAAUUAGAGAUUCUGUGAGAUUAUGGCCUUCAUAAAACCAUGGGCUUUCUGCUGCCCCUUAAGCCAGAAAUCCAGGGAAGAAAGUCUUUACCAUUUGGCAUGCACUACCUCUUCUUAGAGACCUUAUGCUCUGGGACCUUCCUACCAUUUGACCAGGCAGGCUCCUUCUCAGACUCCUUUCAUUAGGACCACACCUUCAGUGGCAAACUGACAGCCCAGAUAUUUGCAGAUUGCAGAUUGUAGUCAAACUACAACUAUAUUUUUGCCGAACGUUUACACUUGACUGCUCUUCUCUGCUUAAGACAAGGGUAUAAUGAUUUGCAGAAGCAUUUACUGUUUUCCCAAUCACCGAGCUCAUCAGCAGAGGCGCUCUGAAGCCUGAAGCCUCAUACCCUUACUUUAGGACUGUAGAGUGAGAGAGAAACUAAACUGUGUACACAGGGGAGAUGUGUUAUAGUUACUAUUCAUGUGUCUCAUCAUCCCUGUUAGAGUACACUGUAUCCCAAAUAAGUAUCCUGCCAAAAAUAUUGUAAAAACACUAGUUGAAGAAGAAAUGGCCCUUAGUAAAGCCAAAUUUGUUAUUUUUAAUAAAGUUUUGUUAUUUGUUUCUUAUUUGCUUUAUAUGUAGUGUUUUCCUCCACUUGAA